CUAGCAUAUCAAUAAGCGGAGGAAAAGAAACCAACAGGGAUUGCCCUAGUAACGGCGAGUGAAGCGGCAACAGCUCAAAUUUGAAAUCUGGCUCUUUCAGGGUCCGAGUUGUAAUUUGCAGAGGGCGCUUUGGCUUUGGCAGCGGUCCAAGUUCCUUGGAACAGGACGUCACAGAGGGUGAGAAUCCCGUACGUGGUCGCUAGCUAUUGCCGUGUAAAGCCCCUUCGACGAGUCGAGUUGUUUGGGAAUGCAGCUCUAAAUGGGAGGUAAAUUUCUUCUAAAGCUAAAUACUGGCCAGAGACCGAUAGCGCACAAGUAGAGUGAUCGAAAGAUGAAAAGCACUUUGGAAAGAGAGUCAAACAGCACGUGAAAUUGUUGAAAGGGAAGCGCUUGCAGCCAGACUUGCUUGCAGUUGCUCAUCCGGGCUUUUGCCCGGUGCACUCUUCUGCAGGCAGGCCAGCAUCAGUUUGGGCGGUGGGAUAAAGGUCUCUGUCACGUACCUCUCUUCGGGGAGGCCUUAUAGGGGAGACGACAUACCACCAGCCUGGACUGAGGUCCGCGCAUUCGCUAGGAUGCUGGCGUAAUGGCUGUAAGCGGCCCGUCUUGAAACACGGACCAAGGAGUCUAACAUCUAUGCGAGUGUUUGGGUGUCAAGCCCGAACGCGUAAUGAAAGUGAACGGAGGUGGGAACCCGCAAGGGUGCACCAUCGACCGAUCCUGAUGUCUUCGGAAGGAUUUGAGUAAGAGCAUGGCUGUUGGGACCCGAAAGAUGGUGAACUAUGCUUGAAUAGGGUGAAGCCAGAGGAAACUCUGGUGGAGGCUCGCAGCGGUUCUGACGUGCAAAUCGAUCGUCAAAUUUGGGCAUAGGGGCGAAAGACUAAUCGAACUAUCUAGUAGCUGGUUCCUGCCGAG
rnacentral:rRNA from 1 species